rnacentral:misc_RNA from 1 species
GCUAGAUGCAUCCGGUCGACCAGCUGUCCAGCCAGCCAACGUCUUAGAGUUGUGGCCGUGGAGGCCACGAAGACACGGGAGUUGAGCGGGGAAAAGGCCCAGCGGAUCGUCGAGGCGAUGCGUUCCAGCGUCGCGCGGCGCGGCAUCGCCGGCUCCACCUUCGAGCACGUCGCCAGGGAGGCGGGUGUCAGCCGCGGGUUGCUCCACUACUACUUCGGCACCAAGGAGGCCCUGCUGGUCGAGGUCGUCCGCCGGGACACCGAGCAUCGCAUCGCCCGGCUGGAUGAGCCACUCGGCAAGGCCCAGUCGGUCGACGAGCUGCUGGAGAUCCUGGUCGCCGACCUCGAGGACUCGAUUCAGAACGAACCCGGCUUCUGGGUUCUGCUCUUCGACCUCUUCACGGCCGGGCGGCGCAACCCCGAGAUCCUCAGGGAGGUGGGCGAGCUCUUCAACCGGACGCGGGCCCACGUGGCGGACAUCCUGCGCGCCAAGCAGGCCGAGGGCGUGAUCUCGCCCCGGCUCGAUCUCGAUGCCGUCGUGGCGCUUCUCUUCGCGAUGGCAGACGGGAUCGCGCUGCAGGUCCUCUCCGACCCCGAGCGUGACCACACCGACGUCAUUGCCGCGGGGACACAGGCGGCGCGCCAUCUCUUGGCCGGCUAGCUGCGACCGAGCCGAGCAGAAUGCGCGCCUGAUCUGGCAGGAGCCUGCCAAGGGCUAAGGACGACGCUGGCGCCUAGGCUGGAUCGCUCAAGCUGCCCACGCUACAGUCGCGCCGUGGGUUUCCUGAGGAGAAAGGACGAGCGGGCGAUCCCGAAGCCCGGGACCCCCGAAUUCGAGGAGGCGGUACAGGGCUCGGCGAUCCCCGACUCCCGCAGCGUCUCGAUGGGCGAGCCCGGUUGGAGCGAUCCCUCAUCGGCCGAGACGAUCGACCUGCGCGGCACGGGCACCGCGGAUCAGGUCGAGGAGGUGCUGCGCGAGCACGGCAUCGACCCCGACAAGAAGGGGCAGACGAUCGACGCCU